rnacentral:rRNA from 1 species
UACGGAGGGGGCUAGCGUUGUUCGGAAUUACUGGGCGUAAAGCGCACGUAGGCGGCUUUGCAAGUCAGAGGUGAAAGCCCGGGGCUCAACCCCGGAAUUGCCUUUGAGACUGCAUCGCUAGAAUUGUGGAGAGGUAAGUGGAAUUCCCGGUGUAGCGGUGAAAUGCGCAGAUAUCGGGAAGAACACCCGUGGCGAAGGCGGCUCUCUGGGACGGUACUGACGCUGAGACGCGAAAGCGUGGGGAGCGAACAGG